rnacentral:snRNA from 1 species
AGCUUUUUGCAGUGGCAGUAUUGUAACCAAUGAGGUUUAUCCGAGGCACAAUUAUCACUAAUUGAAGAAAAUAAAUAAAUAAAAAGAAGGGAAGCCAAUUUUGAGAUAGAGGCAGUCU